rnacentral:rRNA from 1 species
AUUGAACGCUGGCGGCAGGCCUAACACAUGCAAGUCGAACGCGUGGCGGACGGGUGCGUAAUGUCUGGGAAACUGCCCGAUGGAGGGGGAUAAAUACUGGAAACGGUAGCUACUACCGCAUACCCUCGGAUGUGCCCAGAUGGGAUUAGCUAGUAGGUGGGGUAACGGCUCACCUAGGCGACGAUCCCUAGCUGGUCUGAGAGGAUGACCAGACACACUGGAACUGAGACACGGUCCAGACUCCUACGGGAGGAAGCAGGGGGGAAUAUUGCAAAAGGGGCGCAAGCCUGAUACAGCAAUGCCGCGUGUAUGAAGAAGGACUUCGGGUUGUAAAGUACUUUCAGCGAGGAGGCGUUACUCGCAGAAGAAGCACCGGCUAACUCCGUGCCAGCAGCCGCGGUAAUAC